CAAGGAAUUCAGAGAUGGAUUCCUGAAUCGUAAGAAGUCAGCCGAGGUCAUAGUAAUCCCAUGGGGAUGAAGGAC
rfam:Bacillus selenitireducens MLS10, complete genome.